CAGUCGCCGCGGGAAUACGGAGGGUGCAAGCGUUAAUCGGAAUUACUGGGCGUAAAGCGCACGCAGGCGGUCUGUCAAGUCAGAUGUGAAAUCCCCGGGCUUAACCUGGGAACUGCAUUUGAAACUGGCAGGCUAGAGUCUUGUAGAGGGGGGUAGAAUUCCAGGUGUAGCGGUGAAAUGCGUAGAGAUCUGGAGGAAUACCGGUGGCGAAGGCGGCCCCCUGGACAAAGACUGACGCUCAGGUGCGAAAGCGUGGGGAGCAAACAGGAUUAGAGACCCCAGUAGUCCCUGUCUCUUAUAA
rnacentral:rRNA from 1 species